UACCAGCACCCCGAGUGGUCGGGACGAUUAUUGGGCCUAAAGCAUCCGUAGCCGGCCUUACAAGUCCUCCGUUAAAUCCAGCUGCUUAACAGAUGGGCUGCGGAGGAUACUAUAAGACUAGGAGGCAGGAGAGGCAAGCGGUACUCAGUGGGUGGGGGUAAAAUCCGUUGAUCCAUUGAAGACCACCAGUGGCGAAGGCGGCUUGCCAGAAUGCGCUCGACGGUGAGGGAUGAAAGCUGGGGGAGCAAACCGG
rnacentral:rRNA from 1 species